rnacentral:rRNA from 1 species
GACGAACGCUGGCGGCGUGCUUAACACAUGCAAGUCGAACGGAAAGGCCCUGCUUUUGUGGGGUGCUCGAGUGGCGAACGGGUGAGUAACACGUGAGUAACCUGCCCUUGACUUUGGGAUAACUUCAGGAAACUGGGGCUAAUACCGGAUAGGAGCUCCUGCUGCAUGGUGGGGGUUGGAAAGUUUCGGCGGUUGGGGAUGGACUCGCGGCCUAUCAGCUUGUUGGUGGGGUAGUGGCUUACCAAGGCUUUGACGGGUAGCCGGCCUGAGAGGGUGACCGGCCACAUUGGGACUGAGAUACGGCCCAGACUCCUACGGGAGGCAGCAGUGGGGAAUAUUGCACAAUGGGCGGAAGCCUGAUGUAGCAACGCCGCGUGCGGGAUGACGGCCUUCGGGUUGUAAACCGCUUUCGCCUGUGACGAAGCGUGAGUGACGGUAAUGGGUAAAGAAGCACCGGCUAACUACGUG